CAGCAGAGGUGCGCCAGCUGGUGCGGAAACCCUGUGCUACCGUUGCUCUGGGCCACAACACGGCUCCCGUAGAACACAGCUCUUCGUAACGGUGCCCUCAAGGAGGAUGCUUCCAAAAUAUCCCAGUUCUUCCCUUUAAUUAGGCCCAAAAACCUGUGUAUGCACUGACUACAAAAUAAGCAGGCACCUUCUACAAUUUUUACAGGCAAUCCAGGGAAGAGCAUCCAAGUUGAAGGAAAAUGUAGUCUCCCGUCUCCCAGCCUGAAACCUGCUUACUCAGGGGUGGAGCUUCCCGCUCAAUCUUUCU